UACGAAGGGUGCAAGCGUUACUCGGAAUUGCUGGGCGUAAAGCGUGCGUAGGUGGUUCGUUAAGUCUGUCGUGAAAGCCCCGGGCUCAACCUGGGAAUGGCGAUGGAUACUGGCGGGCUAGAGUGCGGUAGAGGAGAGUGGAAUUCCCGGUGUAGCAGUGAAAUGCGCAGAUAUCGGGAAGAACACCUAUGGCGAAGGCAGCUCUCUGGGACGGUACUGACGCUGAGACGCGAAAGCGUGGGGAGCGAACAGG
rnacentral:rRNA from 1 species